rnacentral:rRNA from 1 species
UACGUAGGGUGCGAGCGUUGUCCGGAAUUACUGGGCGUAAAGAGCUCGUAGGUGGUUUGUCGCGUUGUUCGUGAAAACCGGGGGCUUAACCCUCGGCGUGCGGGCGAUACGGGCAGACUUGAGUACUGCAGGGGAGACUGGAAUUCCUGGUGUAGCGGUGGAAUGCGCAGAUAUCAGGAGGAACACCGGUGGCGAAGGCGGGUCUCUGGGCAGUAACUGACGCUGAGGUGCGAAAGCGUGGGGAGCAAACAGG